ACAUACGACCAUAGGAAGUGGAAAAUAGGGCUUCCCGUCCGCUCAGCCGUACUCAAGCCACUUGCCGGCCAGUUAGUAGUAUGGUGGGUGACCACAUGCGAAUCCUGGCUGUUGUAUGUUUUU
rnacentral:rRNA from 1 species